ensembl:lncRNA
GGUCCGCAGAGCUCUGCAGACCCCUGGGGCUGGGGCGCGGGGCGGACUGAGUCGCUUUUAUUUCCGUGAACGCUCAGGGGACGCGCUGUAUUAAUGGCAGCGAGCCCUGGCCGCAUCCUCACAGGCCGGAGGAGCCCCCGAUUUGUUCUGGUCGCUCUGGAUGUUCUGGAGCGAGCGGGGCACGUGAGGGCAGAGAUUGAAGUGCUGCACUUUCCAGCCACGAAAUGCCGUGAAUUGUCAGCAACCACCGGAAGCUGGAAGAGCCUCUGUCUCUGCUGCAGUCAGAUGCCUUUUCCCCUGCAGAACUCACUGCUAAAGAACACUUCGGUGGAACAGAGAUUUACUUUUCUGAACGCCUUGGAUAACUUUGCUGCCCUGAGGAUCAGGUGGCCUCUGGGUCCCACUCAUAUAAUUGUCUUCACGCUGCUGCUUCCGAAUGGCAUCGCCUUUGUGAGAAUGAAGAGGGAAGAGCCCGCUCAAUGCACAGCAUGUGCUCA